UCUUCCCGUUCUCUGCAGCCAGGUGCAUCUGGUCGAGUCAGACCGACAGAAUCGGUCAGAGUCGAGCUCGUUCCUACUUUUCCUCAUUUUAAAAGACUUUUCUGGUUGUUUUGAAGCCAUGAGACGAAGCAGCAGCAGCCGGAGGAGCUCGGGAACCAGGAGGCGGAGCGAGAGUUCACGUUUCGAUCAAUUCGGGUUUGCUUUUUUGAAAAGGAAGGAGCAGAAAGUUCAUCACAGGAGUCACGACUACAGUUACCCCCAGCUGAGCUCGGUGAGGGUGAAGGAGCUUUGUGAGCUCCUCAGCUACUGGAAUGGGGCCAGCUUCAUUUGCAAGAGCCAGAUUGAGCGAUUUAUCAGGAUGGGCAUUCCUCCCAGCCUGAGAGGCCGAGUGUGGAAGUGUCUCCUCAACAUCGACGACCUGAGAGAAACCAGUGACUUCAACUAUCAGAGGUGCUUGUCUGAUGUUCGAGGACCCCUGGUGGACUUGGGAGUCAGUGAGUACGGUAUUUUGUCUGCUAUCGCCACGCUGAGCGACACCCAGAAUGACCUGGAUUUGAACCAGCAGCCGUCCUCCAGCUGCUCGGAGCCCUGCUACUCUGUGGAUGAAGUCGGCCUGUUCAGGCAGAUCGCUCUGGACCUGCAGCGCUCCUUCCCAACCCACCGCUCUCUGAUGGGAGACGAUCCAGAAGCCAUCGAGGGUCAGGCUAAACUCUUCAGAGUCCUCAUUGCCUUUGCAAAAUACAACCCACGAGUUGGCUACAGCCAAGGGAUGUCCUACAUAGCUGCAGUCCUGCUGAUGCAUUUGGGGGAGGAGGAGGCGUUCUGGGCUCUGACGGCCCUGCUGAAUAAACCCAAAUACCUGAAUGAACUGUUUGAGCUCGACAUCUCAAAGGGGCACCUUCAGGUGAAGGUGUUUGAACAGUUUCUGAAACACAGGAAGCCACGGCUCUUCAAGCACAUGGACUCGGCGGGAGUCUUAUCGCUCCAUUUUGUUAUGCCAUGGUUUCUCUCCCUCUUCACUUCCCUGCCCUGCUGGGACUCUGUCCUCGCUGCCUGGGAUCUCGUUAUGCUGCAAGGUCUGCCGGCCGUGUUCCGUACGGCUCUGACCAUCGUUGAGCUUCUGGAGCCUCGACUGCUGGAGCUGAGUGAUGAAGGAUCCAUGUUACCGUUGCUGUUGAGAGUCCCUGUGAACGUAGCCCAAUACACGGUUCUGGUUCCGGCACUGUGGCACACCGAGGUCCAUGACUGGGAGCUCAAGUGUAUGAAGAGCUUGGUGAUGGAUGAGAGCCACCAUGAUCCUCAAAGGGAACUGUGUGAAAAGCAGGACGACGCAUCAUCCAGCCAAAUCGGAACUGGGAAUGAGAGAAAUGAUCCAACGGUGUCAUCUGAAGGGGAAAAGACCACAGAGAAAGGGGCUGUUGGCUUAUUGACCCGAGUGAUGCGCACAGCUCAGCGAUACCUUUUCAGUCGAGCAGGAGUUGAAGACGAGAGUCCACAAACACCAGGGAUGUCCUCUCAGAGAAGAUCUGGACGCGUGUCUCGGCGUUGGACUUCAGCUCCGUUAACACGAGCUCAGGUGAGAUGGAAAAAUCAGCAGAGAAGCCUUGGUGGUCGCGUUGCUACGACUCCUGUUGCUGUCCAAGCGUCUCCUGAUGGAGGCGGAGCUGAAAGAAGUGAUCAAACCUUGAAGAGAUCAGCACCUGUUGGCCGCACGGUUCAUCGUCGUAGCAACCACAGCAUCAUUCAUCAUGUCCGCUCCAAGUCUAAUCGUCUCCUCCGAAACGGAAAAGGAACGUCGAUCCAGACGCCGGAUCUUCCUUCCUACCAGUUGUCGUCCACACACCCGGCUUCAUCCAUGUCUUCGUGCCCCCCCGAGCAGCGUGAAACGGCCAGAAUGGCUCUAAUCAGAUGAUGCACCUUGGUUCAUAUUGGUGCCCCCACCCCCACCCCUACAAGUGACUCGACACAGUGACCAGACCAAUGAGUCCUCAGCUGAUUCCCAAGUGUGGAUCAACAGCUGAUCUCUGAGAUUGUCACAGACACUCUGAAUUUAGGUGUGAGAAGACUAAAGAGAGCAGAAAGGUUUUGACCCCCAGAUGCAGAAGUUCCUGAUUCUACUGUGAGUUAUGUUAAAGAUUUUCCUUGGAGCAGUUUUUCUGUUGACGACACCAGUGCACCCGUUUCAGGAACUAGAAGUGAGCCACAUCAGAGUAGAGCUGAACACGGCAGGUUUUAGAGUCCUAUUUCCUGAUAUUUGGUGAUCUCGCCUCUGAUUGGCUAACAGCAUCAUGACUCUACCACUGACUGUGUUUGCUCUGCAAUGUUGAUGUUUUAUCUCCACAGAUAACACAAACCUGGAGGAGUUCUGCUGUGUGGUGGAGUUGCUAAUGCUAAUUGUUAGCUUCUACUAGUCGAGAUGAUCUCUGCUGUUUCCUGGACGCUAAACCAACAACAGCUUCCCCGUCAUGAGUCCAGAUGGGUGAGUCCAUGAAUGUUAGUGACAGUGUGACGUAGAUCUGUCAGGAUUUUCUAAUCCUAGAGUUUCACCGUCUGUUUUCUAUCAAGCUACUGCAGGAGAUAGGUGUAGUAGACUAUUUUCAUGUUCAGACUGCAUGAAACACUCAGAGUGACGCGUUAGAAUCAGAAAUAAUCAUUAAAAAUGUUUUUUCAGUGAUCCACACCUUUACGGCGGCAGCUUUAGUUUUGGUUGCACACAGACUAGCUGUUAGCUCAUCAAUCGUGAAGGGUAUAAACAUAAUUUCUUCAGAUGUUUAAUAAUAUAAUCCUUUGAGGUGUUGUUUACCAUCAUUACUAAUUAGAUUCAGUUCUGCUGUGUUCAAUUCAAUUCAAGUUUAUUUAUAAAGCGCCAAAUCACGACAAGAGUCGUCUCAAGGACCUUCACAUAGUAAACAUUCAAAUACAGGUCAGUUCAUUAAGCCAAUCAGUAAAAGGUUUCCU